ensembl:rRNA 5S_rRNA 5S ribosomal RNA
ACUAGCAGCUAUAUCACCCUGCAACUCACAACUGGCAACCCACUGAAGCUAAGCAGGUGUGAGCCUGGUCAGUACCUGGAUGGGAGACCUCCUGGGAAAAACUAAGGUUGCUGCUGGAA